GGUGGCUCAGUGUGGUAGAGUGUUUGCCUUAAAUGCAUGAGGCCCUAGGUUCAAUUCCUCAGCACCA
rnacentral:tRNA from 1 species